rnacentral:tRNA from 1 species
GGGGGUAUAGCUCCAAUUGGUAGAGCGACGGAUUCCAAAUCCGUAGGAUUGGGGUUCGAAUCCCUAUGCCCCUG